ACGGGUGAGUAAUGUCUGGGAAACUGCCUGAUGGAGGGGGAUAACUACUGGAAACGGUAGCUAAUACCGCAUAACGUCGCAAGACCAAAGAGGGGGACCUUCGGGCCUCUUGCCAUCAGAUGUGCCCAGAUGGGAUUAGCUAGUAGGUGGGGUAACGGCUCACCUAGGCGACGAUCCCUAGCUGGUCUGAGAGGAUGACCAGCCACACUGGAACUGAGACACGGUCCAGACUCCUACGGGAGGCAGCAGUGGGGAAUAUUGCACAAUGGGCGCAAGCCUGAUGCAGCCAUGCCGCGUGUAUGAAGAAGGCCUUCGGGUUGUAAAGUACUUUCAGCGGGGAGGAAGGCGAUAAGGUUAAUAACCUUGUCGAUUGACGUUACCCGCAGAAGAAGCACCGGCUAACUCCGUGCCAGCAGCCGCGGUAAUACGGAGGGUGCAAGCGUUAAUCGGAAUUACUGGGCGUAAAGCGCACGCAGGCGGUCUGUCAAGUCGGAUGUGAAAUCCCCGGGCUCAACCUGGGAACUGCAUUCGAAACUGGCAGGCUAGAGUCUUGUAGAGGGGGGUAGCAUUCCAGGUGUAGC
rnacentral:rRNA from 1 species